UGGGCCAGCGUGACUUUUGUCCAACAGAGAGCUAGCUAGCAGAACUCAGUAGUAGUAAGGUAUGGAGAGUUCAGGUUGAAACAUAUGUAAGUGGAGUUAUAACAUUUAUAGUGUUUUGCCUGGUGUAGUUUUUAUGUAGUUUUUUUAACACUCAAUGGCCGAAGGAGGAGGAGAAACGGACUUCUAAUUAAUCACACCAACUACGAACGCUCUUCCUGGCUGACAGCAUCGGAGAAGAGUUGCAAAUUGUAUUGCGUCAACUUUACGGACUCGCAUUUGCGGUGACAACUGCCACUUCUGAGCGGAUAUGUUCAGCCCUAAAACGUAUUAAAAACAUUUUCCAGAAACACAACCGGGGAGACUCGACUGUCAUCGAUGGCGUCCACGGCCAUCGAGAAGGACCUGUUACUGGAACUGAAGCACACCGAUAAACUGUACAACCGCGUCAUUGAACAGUUUGUUAACAGAGAGGAGGAAGGACUUUGUCUUUAAGUGAACAGCAUUUGGCCAGGGACAAAGGAAGAUGGAAGUGCAGAUGGCGGGCUGAAGGAGGCGAGGAUGAGCGGAAGGAAGUGAGUAGGUUGGUUAGUUAGUGUAAGUCAUGUUUAACUACAAACCCACCAGAGCCAGCGGAUCAUAUCAAAAAGUUGUGUUUUCAUCUCCGCCAUUGUUCCCUGUUGCUGGUGCGAAAUGCAUUCUCGGUAGGAAUUCAUGAAAUGAUCCGCUGGCUCUGAUCUGUGUUGUGGCUAAACAUGAAAUAUAUUUCGGUUUGGGUGGAUCUAACAAGCAAUGUGUGGUUUGAGAGUUUAAUAUUUGUGAGUGUGUGGGUGGUUUUCUUUUUUUCCGCUUCUGACGCUAAGGGACGCAGAAGAAGGGCGAGGACGAGCGGAAGGAGGCGAGAAUGAGAGGACGAGCGGAUGAAGCUUGUUCAUGUUGGAAACUUUUUCACUCUGCAAAGAAGACAAAGACUCUGCAAGGUUCUCCAGCCCUUAAAGGAGGUCGAGGUAAGUGAGAAUUGUUGCAGAAAUCUGCGUUCACUGGUGUUAAUGAUCCAUAGGACUUAUCAGGUGGAGACGGCACUAAUUUAGAGUUAAUAGCAUGAGAUAAACCUCUGAUUCCUGCUUUUAAAAUGUAUCCCAUCAGUUAACUCUUCAGACCGUGGUGGAAGAUGAACUUAGGUCUUUAGCAUAACUGUACAUCAGCUAGGGCUUUGGUAUAUUGAUCAAAAUAGACUUCAAUUCACAAAAAUUACAAAGAAAAACACAUUUUCUUGCAGAUAGUUUGGGAUUUUCUCUCAGGUUCAGACGGCGAGGGACGCGGAAGGAGAAGAUGAGGAGAGGGCGAGCGGGAGUUAGUGAGUGGUAGGUUAGUUAGUGGGUGGGUGGGUUUCUUUCUUCCCCGCUUCUGACGGUGAGGACGAGUGGAAAGAUGCGAGGACGAGAGGAAGAAGGUGAGUAUUCUAGGGCAGGAGUGUGUGGGUGGGUGGGUUGGUUAGUUAGUAAGUGGGUGGGUUUCUUUCUCUGGCGGAAAGGGACACAAAAGGAGCCGAGGACGAGCGGA